CCUACUGGUGGCAGCAGUGAGGAAUAUUGGUCAAUGGCCGGAAGGCUGAACCAGCCAAGCCGCGUGAAGGAAGAAGGUGCCAAGCAUUGUAAACUUCUUUUGUCAAGGGACAAAAUCAGGCUCGAGAGCCUGACCGAUGGUACUUGAAGAAACAGCAUCGGCUAACUCCGUGCCAGCAGCCGCGGUAAUACGGGGGAUGCGAGCGUUAUCCGGAUUGAUUGGGUUAAAAGGGUGCGUAGGCGGACUGUUAAGUCAGCGGUAAAAGCAAGGGGCUCAACCCAGGCGAGCCGUUGAAACUGGCUGACUUGAGAUGUCGAGAGGUAUGCGGAACGCGCAGUGUAGCGGUGAAAUGCUUAGAUAUUGCGCAGAACUCCGAUUGCGAAGGCAGCAUACCGGCGGCGAUCUGACGCUGAGGCACGAAAGCGUGGGUAUCGAACAGGAUUAGAUACCCUGGUAGUC
rnacentral:rRNA from 1 species